AGUCCAUGAUGUGGACAUUUUUGAAGCAACUCUCUAAGCUGUUUUGAUAUUUCAUAUAUUAAUUCACUCUCUAGUUGACUAAAACUAGUUAUAUCUUUUCUAAUUUU